GAUGAACGCCGGCGGUGUGCCUAAUACAUGCAAGUCGAACGCGUUGGCCCAAUUGAUUGAUGGUGCUUGCACCUGAUUGAUUUUGGUCGCCAACGAGUGGCGGACGGGUGAGUAACACGUAGGUAACCUGCCCAGAAGCGGGGGACAACAUUUGGAAACAGAUGCUAAUACCGCAUAACAGCGUUGUUCGCAUGAACAACGCUUAAAAGAUGGCUUCUCGCUAUCACUUCUGGAUGGACCUGCGGUGCAUUAGCUUGUUGGUGGGGUAACGGCCUACCAAGGCGAUGAUGCAUAGCCGAGUUGAGAGACUGAUCGGCCACAAUGGGACUGAGACACGGCCCAUACUCCUACGGGAGGCAGCAGUAGGGAAUCUUCCACAAUGGGCGCAAGCCUGAUGGAGCAACACCGCGUGAGUGAAGAAGGGUUUCGGCUCGUAAAGCUCUGUUGUUAAAGAAGAACACGUAUGAGAGUAACUGUUCAUACGU
rnacentral:rRNA from 2 species